AUUAACACUACUUGAUAGAGCAAAUUCUCAGCUACAAAAUACUAUUUUUCAGCGUAGUCACCAUCAUUAGCAAAGUCACCAUUAAAAGGGACCUUUGGCGGUCACCUAAUCCAAACACCUGUUCAAACAUUGUGAACAUCACAGUAAGACUGUAGUUCGUAGAGUUGGAGAGGAACAAUUUGACUUGUCUGAAGUUUCCAGUGAUUCCCAGAAAGGUGAACAGAGCAUUAAGGGUGCAAAAUUGAUGGACACUCUUCAAAUUUACUGAACACCACUUAUCUACUUUUGUGCUUACAUACAGUAGUGACAAUUUUACCACUUCCUAGAAACUUCUUGUUCUUCUGUCCACAAUGCUGUUUUAUUCUUUCUCUUUCAAUUUAUUUAAAGCUGUUUUAAUAUGAUUUUCUUCAUUCAUAAUCUGUGACAGAAUUCCAUUUCUGUCCUCUUUUUCAGAGGUUGCUGUUGGUUUUGGAAGGGUCAAGGAAUCUCUUCCUGUGUUCUUUCUUUGUGGGUGAGCCAGCUGAGUGUCUUGUCAAUGCUAGUUUUGAGGUGGAGUAUCAAGCACAGGUUGAAUUACAUGUGGAGCAUCUGCUUUUUCUACUGAAAUGAAAAAAUCCUGUGAGAGAUAAAUUAACUUUGAGACAGUCUCAAAUAAAUAAAAAUACUAAGUCUUUAUUUAUUCUUUUCCCAAGUGCUCCAGAGUCCUGUGAGACGGGUAUGUCCACAAUUUAUUUCAUAUAACUUCAUAUAUUUUGCUGAAGCAUAAAAGAUCAGAAUUAAGUAACUCCUAAUGAUAGAUGAGCACCUCCAGUGGGCAAAUCAGCUGUGUAGGGCUGAUAGUCUGCACUACAGGAUUUUUCUGAGAACCAUGUCCAUCUUCCUUUAUGGCUCCCUGACCUAGCAAACCAUAACUGAAGGCUUGACUACAUAUUCAGCUAGUCAAGAGUAGGCACUCCAGAACUAUUGUAAUUAUGUGUGCCAAUAUGUUUAUCCCAGCUAGAUCUCCUCACACAUUCAAUAAUUCCUAGUUUUUCAUCAUAGCCGCUUAAAAUUUACUUGCUCUUUUAAUCCUAGCUGAAGCAUAAACAGACUCUAAAAGAGUCAGUAAUGCUAACAGUUUUUUCCUGAAGUUACAGUGCUUGCUAAUGGGUGUUUUUGGCCAAAUGCUAUAGCCUGGAUUUAUCGUGCCUAGCUUUAACACUUGACUGAGAUAUCUCUGCUAAGAAUAUUGUAUUUUAUUCUUUCUCUGCAGUUAGACACAUAUGGAGCACACUUCCUCAGAAGGCCUAACAGCACAUCUAAUGUGGCAAUUGUUUUUGGAGGUGUUUGUGUUUUCUUUGUCAUAGCAGAAGGAUCCUGAGAAAAGAGGGUACUUACUUAAGCACCUCAGUUAACUGUUAGUAUUCUGUGGGGUGCAUCUGGACUGAGGUCACACGAUUUCCAUCUGCACAGGAGAAGGUGUUCAGACUUUUGUCCAGAUGGAUAUAUUCUGAUAUGCUUUCUGUCUAUAAACUAAUUGUUUAAUCUACUAAUUUUUUCUUAUACAGUCUCGGAAUUUUCCUUAGGACAGCUUAGAUUUGAUAUUGUAUGUGCAAAUCUAUCAAACAAAAAAUUGUCAGAGGCUGCUAUAGCUCAUGUAAAUGGCUAUUUCCUCUACAACCUUGAAGUUAAUAGGACUAGUUAGAUAUAAUUUGAUUUAUAAAUCCAGUAAGAUCUAGUUUUAAAUAUCUUUAUGCAAUUAAUGCAUCUUUUAUAUAGUUAAGUGCUUUAUUAUUGAUUUUUUUUGUCAUCUCAAAUGAUGCUGAGACUAAAGUAAAGCCACUGAAACUGAAAAAUUCACUUAUUUGAAUCUCAAUGACUUCUGGAGAACAUUGUUUUUUUCCCCAAAUUUAAAUUUACAUCACAGUUAUGUAGUAGGGUUUAUGCAGUAGUAUGCUUGCUAACAUGUUAGCUUGGAUCAUAAUUCCUUUCCUUUUCCCCUCCCUUUUUCCUUCCCUUUUCCCUUCCUUUUUCCUUUCCUUUUCCUUCCUUGUUAGCUCUACGUUUGUGUUUUUUUUUAAUCCUUAACCUGAUAGAUUCUUGCAGAGUGUAUUGAUAGCCAUUUUAAUACAUAAAAGCAUGAGCUACACAAAGACAAAUGGGGAAAAAUGUCAUUGAAGGCAGUGAUUGUUUAAAGCUGGAGAGCAAUUGGAAUGUGAACCAAGAGAACACACCAAGACAGUGUUUGUGAGGUCCUUAGGAGCAGAGAAAAAGAGUGCUAUGUCUAGUAGAUACAGAUGCCAAGUUAGAAGUGAAGCUAAAAGCAAGGGUAACUGUGUUGUUGCUGUGUUUAUAUAAAUCUUUUUUGUUCCCUAAGAAUAUUAGGUGUGUUAGUUGAGUGCUUUUUAAAAAAAAAAUUGGGGGAAGUACGUUUUCUAUAAUCCAGCCAUUCAGCAGUGCUGAGAGUCAAGACGUCUGCUUUGGAGAUGUACUCAUGCCUUGACAAGCCUUAAAGCAUCAUGGUUUUUUGACAUAAUGCUGAAGUGAAAUCUUUGAUGCCUGUCAGCUGCUGGCUUGGAAUGCUUUUGUUAUUUUCUUUUUCUUUUUUUAUUGCAUUUUCAAUGUGAUGUUUACUACACAUAAUAUGGAUCUGCCUCAUUUUAAAGAGCAGCUUUAAUUCUCUUUAUCCAACGACCUUUCUGUAGAAGUGAUAAAUUCCUAGAAGUUAAUAUUCUUUUGGUGGAGAAUGCUGGCACAGCUCCGUGUAUGUGUGCAAGAGUGCAGACUAGGGGUAAAAGGCUGUGUGAAGUUCUGCACGUGGUAGAAGAAGGAUGCCAUCAGAUGUAGUGCUGCAACUCAUGUGAUCAUUUUGGCACCACUGACCAGUGCUUACUGCACCUGACGGGGGAGCUGCAGCAGGGCAGAUGUCAGAUUUCAUACAAUGAAAGCAAAGUCUCCUGGAUGCACUUUUACAGUGCUACUUACGGAAGCUGUAAAACCAGGUGGUGUGCUCCUGACUCAUAUAGGUGAGUGAUGCAGGAGCAGGCCCAUUGUCACAGAACGGCGGCCACCAUGAAGGCUUGAAAGAGGUGUGAUCAUGCAGCAUGGGAGCAGACAACUCCUGUUGGCAGUAGUGGCUGCCACCUCUUAUCUGUGAAGUCAUCACAGACCCAUUUAGGAUGGAUGGUUUACACUGGUGCUAUGACCAGUGUAACAGCCCUUAGGGCAGUUUCUCUGCAGCAUUUUAUUUUCUGUUUAUUAAAGGUGGCAUCUGCCCAGCUGUUCUUCACCAGCAAUAAUCACUUUUCAUUUAGGUUAAAGGGACAGAACAAUGACCUCUCUUUAUGCAGUAAUGGCAGAAAUAACAUGAGGUCAUUGUCCAAGGCUGUGGAAAAGCCAAACAGGAACUCGGACCUCUGAGAUAAGAAGUUUCGGAGGGAAUGCCUGCUGGCUCAGCUGAUGUGCAGCUGUCUGUGCAUGAGGGACAGCAGAGAAGAGAAAGAAAGAGAGGAAAAGAGAUGGCAAAGAUGUUUGCAGAGCUUAAAUGUACAGUAAUUACUGGAAGGGAAGACUUAGAAUUCAAAAUAAUUAUAUUGGUAUUGCUUUUUCCCUUUACUGUUCAAUAAAGCUGGACCUGCUAUGCGUGCUUUCUUUCUCAAACAAGCACAAAUGAGUGAGGUCUCAACUACUGAAAGACUCUCAGUCAAGCUGGAAACAAACUUUCCUUAAUUUCCUCAAGCCUCGGUACCUAUGACAGAUUUGUGACAUGUGCCCAGGCCUCUCCACUACUUUUGGGAGUCUCUCCUGUGAGGUGUUAAAAAUUCUGGCCCCAAGCCUGCAGGAUGAGAGAUGACGUGAGGGAUUUUGAGUGUGCACUUGGCCCCGCGGCUUCAGUGGGACUACUUACAUGCUUAAAGUAAACACGUGCUUAAGUGCUGCACUGCUGCUGCAGAGCCAGAAUGCCCGAUGGCUUGCAGGAUUCUGGCCUUGGAAAUCAAACAAAUGCAUUUCUGUCCUCUGUAAAUCUAUCCGCUAGUUAAGUGUCUUCAUGUUGAAUGCUGAGUUUUCCUGAAAAUCAAAUCUUUAAAUAUCAACCCCAGUAAUUUUAACUGAUCAUUUUAGCAGAAAUGUGCACUAGAUAUUUUUAUUCAAUUCCUAACUGCCCUCUACACAUCUCAAGGUGUUUUUUUGUUUUUUUGUUUGUUUGUUUUAAUAUAAACUAAAUAACAUGUGGGCUACUAUAGUUUUGGUAUAUUUUUGUGGUUUUAGACUCACAAAGGUCUGUUCCAAACAAUGUAAGAUAAAAUAUUUAAUGAGAACAAAAUUCCACACAUACUAAAAAUGAGGUUAUAACUGAUUAAUAAUUUUUUUUUUUUUCCAGAAUGUCCAGACAUUGUCUUGGAAGCUGAGUGUGAAGCUGCAUUUAACUUGAUCUUCACAAACAUACACAAAAUACAAGCACAAUAAGUAAUUAUUAUGGCUAUUUUAUAUUUAAAAAAUGAAGAAAUCCUAGUAUUAUGCAGCUAAAUCACAGUUAAAAGCAAUCAGUUCAAUUUGUAGAAAGAACAAUAUUGCCCAUCAUAUGAAAGACAUUUAUGAACUUUGUUCAUCAGGAAUCUUUAAUUCAUGGUUUGUGAUAUAUUAUACUUGCGGAGGUUGUGUCUGUGGCUUAGGAAUGUCACUAAUGAAUCAGAAGAAGAUCAAGCUCGCAAUUUUUCCACUAAGAAAUACAGUAUUUAGUAUUUUCUAGAAAGUUUUCCUGUUAGUGACGAGUCAAAGAUCCAGGAAAGGGGAAGUGAUGUUUGAAUAAAUCUUUAACAUGGCACAGAGUGUAUUUCAAGAAGUUACUACUUGGCAGGCUGGAGGAAUCAUAACGAAUCCAGAGUUUGCAUCCUCUGGAAGGCAAAAAAUAAAUGACCGUGGUAAUAUUUAAGUUUAAAGAGGAAAAACACAUUAACUAUUGGACAGGAGCUUGGUGAAGAAAUCUGUGGAUAUCUGCAAGAUAACAACUGAUAUGAAAACGGUGUAUAAACACUGAAGUUAUGGAUAAAACAUAAAAACAUUCACUGUUUCUUCCAGCGCAGGAAUAAGGACCAUAAUGUGAGUCUGGUGGCAUCCUGGUUCAGAACAGUCAAAACAAAAAGUGAAACUGAAACAACUGGGUGUUUUCUUCAUGCAUCUUGUAUUUCCAAGCGCAGAUUCUGAGUUCUUCCUCUGUGUGAGAGACAAGUGUUGUUCUUUUUUUGUUUUUGUUUUUUAAUUUUUAAAUGAUUCCUACCAUUUAAAAUCAUUCCCAAACAAAUAAUGAUAAAAACGACAAUUAAAAGCUUGCUUGAUUCAGUCCAGCAAAUUGUAUGUAUCUCAGACGCUACAGACACAUGCAGUAUUGAUUCUCCUUUUAAAAAUUGCCCAUGUAAACAAAGUUUAAAGGCCCUGCAGUGUUGCUGAGUAAACAUCUAACAGUAACUGUGUUCAAUACAUGAGUGCCACUGCUAACUAAUUCCACUUCAGGAUAGUAAGAAUCACAGACACCUUCUUCCCAGUUAAUUGCUGUGUUUAAUUUAUUUGCUCAAGUAACACAAUAGUUUGGAUUAUAAUGGAGACUGAAAGGUCUCAGACCUUUCGUUCCCAGAACAAGUCAAGAAAUGCAGAAGAGGCCCAAACAUUGAAUAUCCAUCAUAAAGAGCCGCUAUUUUUUUGCCAUUUUUGAUAACAAUUUGCUGACAUUAAAAUUGACUAUUAUGUAGUGCUUUUGAAAGCCUUGUGUAAUGUAAAUUCUUUCGUUUGCAUGAGGGAAAUAUCUAAUGGUAACAGACUGCUUAUUUUGGACAACUUAAAAUUACUUGCUGUGAGCACCUUAAAUGAAAUGCUGGCUGAAUAAUCACAAGCUCAAUUAUAAUUCUGAAUUAUUUUCUACUGUACGUGCCACUUCGUUGCUAGCAGCCAGAGCAGACGAUGCCUCAUUGGUGAUUGGUCUUAUGGCACAAGCAUGUACACCCUCUGAAUAUUAGCAAAGUAAACAUUCAGUGUGGGAACUCAUCAGUAAUUUUACGAGGCAAAUUCUGAUAAGUGUGUUUUCUCUGAAUAGUAGUGCAAAAUGUCAGAGUGCUGGAACUGUUGGAAUUGGACAUCUAUGUAGCUCAAAGUCAGCCAGUGCUGGGCUUUUUCUUUCUGCUUCCAUCUGUCCAGGCCAAAACUGAUCAUAUACAUUAACUAUCUUGUGUUUUUGCUUCCUAAUUGGAAAAAUGUGUAACUUCAUAUGAAAAAUAUGGCUUAAAAUUUAAUCGUCUCUGAGAUACCUUUUUAAUAUCAGUUACUAAUCAUUUAAGGAGAUUGUCCUUAAAGAAAGCAAAACAUAGUUGCCCCAGAUGACCAGAGUCUUGGAAAGAGGUAUAAUGAAACUACGAGCUCUGCAACAUAUUUUUUUCUUGCUGACUGUAUUUCUUUGCAAUUCUUUCAUAUCUACUUUCAAGAAUUCUGCUAUAUCUGGAAUAAACAGUGGAUAUAAUACAUAAGGUAACCCUCCAUUGGCUCCAGAGAGUAGCCAUAAUGGCACAGAUAAUCCUCUUGGUAUGGAUUGUGUGUGGUGUGUGUAUGUAACCAACAGGACCGCACACAGUUUAUAGCAAUUACAUGGCUUUUGCUUACAGAUGUGGAGUAUUUCUACUUUCUGUUCUUUUGGAACAAUGUGCUAAAAUCUCCCUUUUCCCUGGGUUUGAUACAUGGAACAGAUUCAUACCUAAUUUCCGUCAGUAUGAAAACCUAAAUAAUUCUUUGAAAAUGUUUAAUUCCCUUUGGUCCUGAAGGUCCCUCUGGAAUUCAUCAUGUUGACUGACUGCUUGCAUUGCCCAGUCACUUGUAAAAAUUUAGCUCACUGUCAUCUCUUCGUUUCAGCAACAGAGAAUGAUACAGCACAACUUUGGGAAACGGCAGCAUUAAAUUAGAGAUGCAAGCUGCAGACUGCAAUAUUAAAAAUAUGUUCUCCUACUGUGGCCUAAUUUGCCUUUUUCUUUUUAUGCUGAUAGUGUAUCUGAACCCACACUGUGAGCAGUGUGUAAUAAGUUUCUAGGCUUUUGGCAUCUGUUAUGGACAAACUGUGGAUUCUUUGCAACUUCAAACAGCAAACGAAAUGAGAAGAUCGAUGGUAUUCAUGUCUAGAUGUGUGACAUGGAAAUCUGCCUAAACAAAUUAAAGGGCUGGGAAUUUGAAUCCAGCGUUACAAAACUCCAAGCCUCUGGCCCAGAGGAAGCCCUGAAACCACAGAAUGUUGGAAGCAUAACUGAGGGAAGGAUCGCUGCGUGCUUGCCUUGCUGAUACUCUUCCUCAGGCAUUUGCUACUGGCCACUAUCAGAGGCAGGAUAUCCAGCUAGAUGGACCUUUGGUCUGACCCGGUAUGGCCACCCUUAUAUAAGAAUACAUGUGAGCCUGGGUGAUUUUGAUCUCCAGCCCCUUCCAGGGCUGGGUCAUGACUGAGGAUAAAUGAAGCUGUGACUGGAGUUAAUUUUAAAACUGUUACUCAGGUUUGGAGUAAUUUCAAGGAAUGUUGUGCUGUCCAAAAAUAUGAAAAUCGAGUGUAUAUACAGUGCUUCUCAGAAGAAAUAAAUUAUGUAUGUUCAAACAUUCAAAAAGUAUUUGGAGUAACAGAGAAAUUGUGAUUGUGAUUUAGCAGUGGAAGAUACGUUGAUGAGUGUAGCAGAAAUGCUAAGUCAUGGCUUGAACCAGUGAUUGAGCACCUGGUGGGAAGGCAGGGCCAACCCAGGGGAGCUCAGCUGUGUGCAGUACAUCUGAAUGAUGGGAAGGGCUGCAGCCAGGAUCCUCCCCUUCCCAGACCUCAUUUAAGGGUUGGCAGUAGAGGUGUGGGGCUCUUGUUGGAGGUCCCUGUGUGUUUGAGGCCUUCUAUUGGUAAGUAGAUUUUUUUUUUUUUUUCUCCCCUUGUUUUUAUAUUCACAGCUGCUGUAUUUGGGCUUAUCCUUACUUGCUGCAGUCUAGGACUUUGCUGCACUGCAAUUAUUGAUGUGCUUUCCAUCAUGUAUAGCAUUACAAUGGAUGUUUUGUGUAUACCCUUCCAGUGUAGCUAGGUAUCAGUUUUGCAUUAGUAGUCUGAAAACUAAUUCUUGUUCUCCUUUUCUUUCCUUUUUUUUUUUAAAGUAGAGUAUUCUUUGUAGCAAUAUUCUGUAAUGUACAUCACUAAAAUACUAAAUACAAAAAGCCCUGUUUAUUUGGAACCUUCAGAUAUCGCAACAUCAUGAUAUUUUAUGCUGAUAUGGUAGUAGCUUUUUUUUAAUGAGAGAUUCUGUAAUCUUCCUGAGAUACACUUUCCCUUUCCAGAUCACAGACAUAUACUGAAAACUGCAUUUAAAUGUCUGGUGAUGUUACUUUUACAUGUGUAAGUUAAAUUCAGAGUUCUACCAGUAAUGGAAUAAAUGAUUAAUUCCUUUGUUUUUAAGUCAUAUGCCCUCUUUCCUGAAUCUCUGCUGUUAAGAAAGUAGAUGUGGCCCUGGAUUAUUGUUCCUUUGUGACUAUAGAAGAGGAGAGUUCUGAGUGUGACACUGUCAGGUCACCUUCCUGAAGCCCACAGUCAGGGGAAGCCACGAUGAGAAUGGGCAAGUGGAUUCAGAUUUGACUUUAAGGAGCAUGGUCAAGUGCUACUUUAACUGUAGCUUUUUAUAUUGUGGUCAUUGAUGAACAGGACCAGACCCAGCACUGACUGCACCUCUAACUACAGGCCUCCAACCAGACUCUGCCACUGAUCACUGCACUUUGAGCUCUGCCAGUCAGCCAGUUCUCAAUCCACCUCACAGG